rnacentral:rRNA from 1 species
GACGAACGCUGGCGGCGUGCCUAAUACAUGCAAGUAGAACGCACAGUUUAUACCGUAGCUUGCUACACCAUAAACUGUGAGUUGCGAACGGGUGAGUAACGCGUAGGUAACCUGCCUGGUAGCGGGGGAUAACUAUUGGAAACGAUAGCUAAUACCGCAUAAUAUUGAUUAUUGCAUGAUAAUUGAUUGAAAGAUGCUAUUGCAUCACUACCAGAUGGACCUGCGUUGUAUUAGCUAGUAGGUGAGGUAACGGCUCACCUAGGCGACGAUACAUAGCCGACCUGAGAGGGUGAUCGGCCACACUGGGACUGAGACACGGCCCAGACUCCUACGGGAGGCAGCAGUAGGGAAUCUUCGGCAAUGGACGAAAGUCUGACCGAGCAACGCCGCGUGAGUGAAGAAGGUUUUCGGAUCGUAAAGCUCUGUUGUAAGAGAAGAACGGGUGUGAGAGUGGAAAGUUCACACUGUGACGGUAUCUUACCAGAAAGGGACGGCUAACUACAUG